AUGGACAUGUGGGCCUCAACUCAUCUCCUUGGUCUCCUGCUCCUAUGGCUUUCAGGUGCCAGAUGUGACAUGCAGCUGAACCAGUCUCCAUCCUCGCUGUCUGCAUCUCUGGGAGACAGAGUCACCAUCACUUGCCAGACGAAUCAGAACAUUGGAAAUAGCUUACAUUGGUUCCAGCAGAAAUCAGGCACUUCCCCUAGACUCCUGAUCUCUUGGGCAACAAAUUUGCAAUCUGGUGUGCCAUCGAGGUUCAGUGCUACUAGAUCUGGGAUAGAUUUCACCCUCACCAUCAGCAGCUUGGAGUCUGAAGAUGUUGCAACUUACUACUGUCAACAAAGUAGCAGUUUACCUCCCACAGUGUUAUAA